rnacentral:lncRNA from 1 species
ACAAAAACUUGAUGAAUGGAUGGUCGUCAAGCAAAUAUGAUCAUCCAUUGUAUAAAUAGGACGACUGUCGUCUGAUAAAGUAUUUUGCAAGGGAAAAGGCAAAGAAACAUAAAAUGGAUUUCAGAAGCAAAAACAUGAUUUUGUCCGGCUUUAUCUUGUUCCUUUCAGCUCUCGGCUUGUCGGCAGCAUUUCAGUGUUAUGAUUGUAAUUCUGUUACAAAUUCAGCCUGCGGCGAUACAUUUGAUACAUCUUCCUCGGACGCCACUUCCUUUGUAUCAAGUUCAUCCGCAUGCACUGCAUGCCUUAAAAUCAAAGCGGGAGAUCUUGUUACAAGGUCCUGCUCCACAACUAUAUCUACCGAAGAUUGUCAGACAGAAAAUGACGCGGCGGCGUGUUCAUGUACUUCCAAUCUUUGCAACGGAGGAUCUAGCUCUCGACUCAAAGUCACUACUGUUGUCUUUAUAACUUCUUUCUCUUUGAUUAUCUAUAAUUUUUUAUUGUAAAGUUUACAAGUAGAGUUUCUCUUCCAUCUCUCUUUUGUAAUUAACAAUGUAGCCUUUAAUACUUUUUCCAUUUUGCUAUUGCUUGUUGUUGAAUCAAUUUGAUAAAUUAUUGCAUGUACAUCUUUUUGAUACGUUCAAACAUACACGCCUUCGUGGUAAAAUAGCAUACUCAUAUUGUACUCAUAGUCUAAAGGAAACAAAUUGUAGCUACCAUAAUGCUGUAUGUGUGACGGUUAAAGUAAACUGUAGCUCCGAAACUGGGAGGCUAUCAGGUGACUUUAGUCUGCUAUCGAACAUGCACGUGCAAAUCCGUGCAUGCGUGUUAGUGUUAAUUUUUACCAUACUUUAUAAACAGUGCGAUAAAUUGCAUGUUUGCUGUGAGAUUCAUAACACUUUAACAAGUGCCUGUGUAUCGAAUGCUUCACUAGCCCCUAGACUAAGGUAAUUUUUGUUGUUCCAUUUUAAGUUUCUUUUCUAUGUCCAGUAUUGAAAUCUCUAAAACAGACUGUCUCUAUAACCUGUAACAAAGAGAAAUAAAAA